GCUCUGGUGGUUCAGUGGUAGAAUUCUCGCCUGCCACGCUGGAGGCCCGGGUUCGAUUCCCGGCCAGUGCA
rnacentral:tRNA from 2 species